GACGAACCGUGCGAACGUUAUUCGGAAUCACUGGGCGUAAAGGGCGCGUAGGCGGCCUGAUAAGUAGGGGGUGAAAUCCUGCGGCUUAACCGCAGGGCUGCCUUCUAAACUGUCAGGCUUGAGCACAGUAGAGGCAGGUGGAAUUCCCGGUGUAGCGGUGAAAUGCGUAGAUAUCAGGAGGAACACCUGCGGUGUAGACGGCUUUCUGGACCAUUGUUGACGCUGAGACACGAAAGCGUGGGUAGCAAACAGG
rnacentral:rRNA from 1 species